AACGCGAAGAACCUUACCAAGGUUUGACAUGCAGGGAAAAGCCGUAGAGAUACGGUGUCCGCAAGGGCCCUGCACAGGUGGUGCAUGGCUGUCGUCAGCUCGUGUCGUGAGAUGUUGGGUUAAGUCCCGCAACGAGCGCAACCCUCGUCCUAUGUUGCCAGCGGGUAAUGCCGGGGACUCAUAGGAGACUGCCGGGGUCAACUCGGAGGAAGGUGGGGAUGACGUCAAGUCCUCAUGCCCCUUAUAUCUUGGGCUGCAAACAUGCUACAAUGGCCAGUACAGAGGGCUGCGAGACCGCAAGGUGGAGCGAAUCUCAAAAAGCUGGUCUCAGUUCGGAUUGGGGUCUGCAACUCGACCCCAUGAAGUCGGAGUCGCUAGUAAUCGCGAAUCAGCAACGUCGCGGUGAAUACGUUCCCGGGCCUUGUA
rnacentral:rRNA from 1 species